GGAAGUAUAGCUCAAUUGUAAAGUGUUUGCCUUGUAUGUACUAGGUCCUGGGUUCAGUUCCCAGUUCUCUCU
rfam:Mus musculus chromosome 12, GRC primary reference assembly.